UUAAUCUAAGCGAUUGAACAUUUAUAUUUUUUUUGCAAACAAUAUCAAGAUCAGAGGUUUUGUUAUCAUCAUCUACAUUCUCUGAUUUAUGUAGUGUCUAUGAACGUUAAUCAUGUCUUGGACAUUUAUCAAACUUACUGAUUUUUGUUUAUUUUGAUUUUCAUGUGAAUCCCUAAAUCUUGGAUAACAAUCGGACUCCGAUCAUUCAACAAGCAACAGAGUUCGUCGACCAAAACAGGAAAUACCGUAUGAUGAGCCAGCUUAUUGUGGGAAGGAAAAGUUCCAUAUGCUCAAUGUAUUGAACUUAUUGAUGAUGA